rnacentral:rRNA from 1 species
GUGGGGAAUAUUGGGCAAUGGGCGAAAGCCUGACCCAGCAACGCCGCGUGAGGGAAGAAGGCCUUCGGGUUGUAAACCUCUGUCUUUGGUGACGAAACAAAUGACGGUAGCCAGAGAGGAAGCCCCGGCUAACUACGUGCCAGCAGCCGCGGUAAUACGUAGGGGGCGAGCGUUGUCCGGAAUGACUGGGCGUAAAGGGCGCGUAGACGGCUGUCUAAGUCUGGAGUGAAAGUCCUGCUUUCAAGGUGGGAAUUGCUUUGGAGACUGGAUGGCUUGAGUGCGGAAGAGGUAAGUGGAAUUCCCAGUGUAGCGGUGAAAUGCGUAGAGAUUGGGAGGAACACCAGUGGCGAAGGCGACUUACUGGGCCGUAACUGACGUUGAUGCGCGAAAGCGUGGGGAGCGAACAGGAUUAGAAACCCGGGUAGUCC